rnacentral:misc_RNA from 1 species
CGUAGGUGACCUGCGGAGGAUCAUUGUCGAUGCCUAAACAUCAAACGACCCGCGAACGCGUUUACAAACAAAUUGCCCGUGUCGGGGGGCGGGGGGAAGCGUGCUCCUCUGGGGGUGCCCCCUCCCCCCUCGAUGCGCCUAAACCAAACCCCGGCGCAGGUCGCGCCAAGGAACUUGAAAUGAAUUCGCCUGCCCCCUGCCCCGGCCUCGGAGUGCGGGGGGCGGAGCAUUCUUGUCGUA